GAUGAACGCUGGCGGCGUGCCUAACACAUGCAAGUCGAGCGGAUAAAGGAUGAGCUUGCUCGUUUUCGGUUAGCGGCGGACGGGUGAGUAACACGUGUAUAACCUGCCCCUUUGUCUUGGAUAACCACGUGAAAGCGGAGCUAAUACAGGAUAUUAUGGUGAACGGGAUGGAUCAGUAGUGAAAAGAGAUUUUGUCGUUGCUAGGUGGGGUUGCCGGGUCGGAUCAUUUAGUUGGUAGGGUGACGGCCUACCGAGGCAACGAUGGGUAGCCGGGCUGAGAGGGUGGUCAGCCACACUGGAACUGAGACACGGUCCAGACUCCUACGGGAGGCAGCAGUGGGGAAUAUUGGACAAUGGGCGGAAGCCUGACCUAGCAAUGCCGCGUGGGUGAAGAAGGGCUUCGGAUCGUAAAGCACUUUUAUUUGGGAAGAAAAGCAGUGUUAUUACUUGUGGCUGUCUUGACGGUACCUAAAGAAUAAGCGCCGGCUAACUACGUG
rnacentral:rRNA from 1 species